AUUGAACGCUGGCGGCAGGCCUAACACAUGCAAGUCGAACGAGUGGCGGACGGGUGUGUAAUGUCUGGGAACCUGCCUGAUGGAGGGGGCUAACUACUGGAACCGGUGGCUAAUACCGCAUACCAUCGGAUGUGCCCAGGUGGGAUUAGCUAGUAGGUGGGGUAACGGCUCACAUAGGAGACGAUCCCUAGCUGGUCUGCGAGGAUGAACGGCCAAACUGGAACUGAGACACGGUCCAGACUCCUACGGGAGGCAGCAGUGGGGAAUAUUGCGCAAUGGGCGAAAGCCUGAUGCAGCCAUGCCGCGUGUAUGAAGAAGGCCUUCGGGUUGUAAAGUACUUUAAGUUGGGAGGCGGUACCAACAGAAUAAGCACCGGCUAACUUCGUGCCAGCAGCCGCGGUAAUUC
rnacentral:rRNA from 1 species